CAGCCCCUUGCCUACCUCCUGCGCCGCUUUUUGGGGGCGAUCACCAGGCAGUUUCAUCCCUUGGUGACCUCGGACCGCAGCAUAAGCCUUAAACGCCAUCUCACUGCCCCCUCCCAUGCUCCGAAAGACCAUGUCUUCCCCUCUGUCCAAGGAACAGCGGCAGAAGUAGAGCGUCUGCUCCAUGCCCAUUUGCAAGGACGACAAGGGUACAUCCAAGGGUCCUCGAGUUUUAGUUACCCAGGGGCAUAUAGCUCAUUCACCCCCUUAACAUGAAAUCCUGCAGGAGUUACAUACCACCAAGACCUCAGCAAGGCGGCAGAGCGACUGCUGACGUGCUAGACCGGGGCCACUACAGUGCAUUGAGUCCCCUUUGCCCUUGUCACAAGCAAACUAUCUCCAGGUGUGAAGAAACUGAAACUCAAGUUAAAUAAUGCAGAACAUGUAGCUGAGGAUGACGUUGGACUUAGGAUUUUCCCGAGUGCUGGAAUUACGGCAUGCACUACCAUGGUAGACCGCUGCAGUGCCAGGGCCUGUGGUUAUCGCCAUGCUGGAACCAGGCAAAGACCGGAAAAUAAUUGUUGAACGCAAAGCCAAGUCUCCAAAAGUUGGGAAAGAGAAAGGCCAAUGUAAGGAGUUCACUGAGAGUGCAAGGGUGAGCAUAAGUGUUGUGCUGUAGGGGUUGACCAGAGAGGCCUUGUGCGGCUUCUUUUCAAAGUAUGUCUGAGGUGUUUCAUCGUCCACCUGUUUUGCUACUGACUGUAAGUCUCCUUUUGCAGUUUUGACAAUUUACAAAUAAAAACUGGAA